rnacentral:rRNA from 1 species
UACGGGGGGGGCAAGCGUUGUUCGGAAUUACUGGGCGUAAAGGGCUCGUAGGUGGCCAACUAAGUCAGACGUGAAAUCCCUCAGCUUAACUGGGGAACUGCGUCUGAUACUGGAUGGCUUGAGUUUGGGAGAGGGAUGCGGAAUUCCAGGUGUAGCGGUGAAAUGCGUAGAUAUGCGGAGGAACACCGAUGGCGAAGGCAAUCCCCUGGGCCUGCACUGACGCUCAUGCACGAAAGCGUGGGGAGCAAACAGG